rnacentral:rRNA from 1 species
AACGUAGGAGACAAACGUUAUCCGGAGUUACUGGGUGUAAAGCGCGUGUAGGCGGCAGGCCAAGUCUGUGGUGAAAUCGCUCGGCUCAACUGGGCGGGGUCCAUGGAAACUGGUCGGCUGGAGGACGGUAGAGGUGAGUGGAACUGCGAGUGUAGAGGUGAAAUUCGUAGAUAUUCGCAAGAACACCAGUGGCGAAGGCGGCUCACUGGCCCGAUACUGACGCUGAGGCACGAAAGCGUGGGGAGCAAACAGG